UACGAAGGAUUCGAGCGUUAUCCGGAUUUAUUGGGUUUAAAGGGUGCGUAGGCGGGCUUGUAAGUCAGUGGUGAAAGCCCGGAGCUCAACUCCGGAACUGCCAUUGAUACUGCAAGUCUUGAGUACACUUGAGGUGGGCGGAAUACAUCAUGUAGUGGUGAAAUACUUAGAUAUGAUGUAGAACACCGAUUGCGAAGGCAGCUCACUAAAUUGUAACUGACGCUGAGGCACGAAAGCGUGGGGAUCAAACAGG
rnacentral:rRNA from 1 species